AAUAAUAAUAAUAAUAAUAAUGCAAGUCGUUUAUAAACUAGUUACCGAACACACACAGCGUUAGAAUCCCUGAUUAUGAAAGUUAUCCUUAUGCAUUAGUUGACCCUGGAGGUAAUAAAGAUGUCCAGACCGCAUGCCUGACAUGACUAGAUUAUAGAACCCUUCUGUCCGAAUUAAUCGAUUGGAAAAAUUACGCAAUUUUUUUUUUACUUAGUAAUCAAAAAUUGGUCGAAGAGUUUGCACUUUCAGUUGGAGAAUGAUACGUCGGUUAUCUCCAUACCUUAGAUUAUAAUUCUUACCGAUGCGGAUAUAAAAAUCUAGUGUGUUUUCUGUCUUGUCCAAAUAGAGUAUCGGUAUCCGAAGCGAACAUUAUCAUUAUUGGCGAACUCGUGAAAUUAGAGAUGAAUUAAGGAAAAGACUCGAACAAGGAGAGUUGCCGUAGGGAAUGCACUGCAGACCAAGUUCGAAGCAUCUUCGGCAGCCGAAGGGUCUAUAUUGGUCUAAUACUAGGUUAUAGGGACAGAUCACCCCAAGAGGUGAUGUUUCCUUCCAACCUAGUAUCAAAUUAAAUAAGGGGUUAGUCGAGAAGAAAACGGAUGAAAUUACUAGGACAUAGGUAAAAGUAAAUUAUACGUUCGAAAGAUGAUACGAUGUUUGACAGUUUCUGAAAUGUGUUUUAGCCACCAUUUCUUGGCCAAUUUUUAUUAGACGACUGUGAGCGUAAACAGGGGGCGUUUCUACAUGUCAGAUACGUAAUUAUCCCCUUUAUUAUGGCACUUUACCGCUUAAAAGGUUCUAAUCGAUCAUUAGGCCACUUCUCCCCGCACAAUCACCCUCUAUUUGCUGCGGACCACCUGCCACGCGUGUCUAACAAACGGGUUGGUUUCUCCCCUAUCCCCAGGCCCACUGUCAGUAACCAAGGGCACGCAGAUGGUGCUUUGAUAAUUAAUACCGUAUAAGGUCCCAAGAUUGUUCUCUCAAGAUUCUGCGAUGCUUUUCAGAAGACCGUUGAUGUGAUGGAGGGAUUUGGAAGCGGGGAAGGAGGGCUCGUGGCACCUCCAUACCGAUUGAGAGGUACCGAGAUAAUAACGGGCUGUAGAAUAGCAAUUUUCCAGUCGAGACGAACUUAAAGAUCCCGGCAAUUUUCAGAUAAUUCGGCUUUUUCCAGACUUCAUCCGGGUUCGGGUAAUAGAAGACACUCCGAAAUGACUUUUAGGCGGGGAUUCGCUUAUAAGCGCCCAUCUACUUUCGAGUGCGGCUAAGAAGACACCGACAUCACUCGGCUCCUCCCGAUGAUGGAUUUAUACAAACCGAAAUCCGUGUUAACUCCAAAUCUGGAUAGAAAACUACUCAAAUAGUUUAAAAUUCAAUGGAAGGAACUCCGCCCAGACUCUAUCGGAUGCCGGUGUCAAUGGACUCCACCCCACGAGUUUAAUAAUCAGUAAGAGAAUCUAGAUUGUUAGCCGGAUCUGUGACCCUGAGUAAUUUAGGGGAGAGGCGAACAGUCUAUAUUGUCGUAUGAGUAAAUACUCAUUUAAUUCAUUUCUAUCGAAUGGAUAGAGAAUGACGUGCACGUUUGACAUCUCUACUAAAGAUGCACGUUUGGCCGCACAGAAGAAUUAUAAAUCAUAGGCUAGGCUCGGAUGAGGCGGUCCCGUCAGGCGCCAAAUUUCUCGGUUAAGUUCCUUGUCAGGACGGGUCGACUAACCCCGAGCGUCGAUGGCACUGUAUCCCGUCGGCGCCCGAGGGAGACACGCUGAAAUACGCCAUUAGUUAUGCUGGAUUUGGCCACAACAGGCGUUGCCGACACAAACCGGCCAACGGGGAGCGUCAACAGAAUGUUCGACACAUCCCUGAGUUAGAAAAUGGGAAGCAGAAUAAACUUAAAAAUUCUUUGAAUAUUAUCGAAAAGUUGAUACUAUCCACAUAUAUUUUUAAAUUAAAUUAAAUUAUUUUUUAAUCAAUACGACAAAUUAGUAACCGACAGAAAGUCGAGAAACCUUCUAUGUCGGAGAAUUCGCGAUCACCAAUUGACCUCCUCGGCGGAUUUGCCCAGUGAUGAAAUUAGCCUGCUACUAAGUAACCAAUUAACAGUUUAGGCUAAAAUUGAAGGCAAGCAGAAAUUAUAGUAAUUUCUGGUAGAUAAAGUGCGCAUUAUUUAUACAAAACGGACAAAAAAAAGCGUGUUAUGCGAAAGAAAAAUAUGAAAUAUUUCGAUAUUUAAUGAACUAGCUACUCAAAGUAUGGGGCGCUCUCCCUUUGGGGGUUGCGAAAUCAUCUGGGACAGAACAGAAGUAAUGGCGAAAAUUAGUAGAUGUUUUCGAAAACGAUUUCUACGUAAAUACAAUCACGUAAGUUUCAGUUACAGUACCAUAUUGAAUUUUAAUAAACAUUUGCAUAGAUUAUGAAAAAAGAAAAAAAUCGCAGCCCUUGUAUAUUGUUAUAAAAGAACUGCUACAAAGUUUGGAAACUUGUAAUAAUGUAAAUUUUAGUGCACAAAGUUUCUAUAAAGAUCGCGUUAUCAUCAGAAAAUACAACCCUGUAUAUAUGAUCCUUUAGAGUUUAUUUUCAAAACGAAAAGUUUAAACUCGCUUAAAUGCAAGUUUUUCUGUUUCUCACCAUUGUUGAGUUUUCGUCUAUUAAUUCUCGAUGCAAAAAAAAAAAGGAUAAUUAAGGAAAAAAAUUUGGCGGGUUCACGGAUUGUCAGCCCUCGUUAAAUCAGUCGGAGUCUUAUCUGACGCGUUAACAACUCGGCCAGGCGCGGAGCCAAGAGAUUGAACAGAUAGAUUUCGAUAAGAAGCACUUAACCCGCUAUUUAUCCGGCUUCGUAACUAACACGCCACAGGAAUGUUGUCGUCGUUAUGACGUUUCUAUUCUGGGAGGAGGAAAACGUAAGCAUGCCGGAGAAUACCGAAACGGCACACGGGGGACUACGAAGUAAACGAAUCUUAGACGGUGGAAAGUUCUUUUCGAGUUUCCGUCCCGUUUUUCGUUAGAGAUCGGAUCGGAGAUGUGAUCUGUCAUUGGCGGAAAUUUAGUCCCACCUGGAGGAGGCCAGCGCUUCGAUGAUGGGGAAUUCCGAAAUUUAUUCUCAUCAUUAAAUAAGGGUGGAAAGCAGACACACCUGCAAACCUAGAACAGCCGCGCCAUAAAACAUGGCGGUGCUCCUUCUAUUCCGGGUUCUUUUAUGAGCGCGCUAAUCUGGAUGGAAGUAUGACUGUAGCCCUCCAGGGAUCGGCAACAUCUCGGAAUUCUCUCCUCCAUUCCAUAUUAUAACCGAAUAUCCUUUGUUAUAAAUCGUGUCGAAUCAUUUAAGCUCCUUCAAAUUUUUUUAUUUCGAUAUAUUGUUAUAUUGAAAAAAGUUCUAAGUGGAAUGAAUAUGAGACUUGCGAACCUUACUGUUUGUUCUGCUUGGUUCAAAAAACGCGACUUAUGAAGCAGCAGGUGCGAUAUCUCUUAAGUCGCUUAUCAGCCUCGUAAAUAUUCUUUUCACGCUCCUCUGUUUAGUCUACUUCGACUAUCGCCGAACUAGAACAUGAAGAAAAUUAUAAAAAAAUGAAUAUAAAAUAAUUAUGAAAUAACGGGUCUUAUAUUGUAUGGAAGUAAUUUUUCAGGGAGGUCAGAGUACUACUCUCUGAGUCCAUUCUUCAACUCCUGCUGACUCCACAGCGGGUGUGACCAGUUUGUGGUAACACUCCACUGGCCCGUUGCUUAGUUUUUCUGAUGGAAGAGGGCAUAAAAGUCACACUAUUAAUACAUGUUCGGAUUAUUUUGAAUUUAUUCUGUCUUAAGUUAUUCACAGGGGCAAUGUUGGCCACAAGGAAGUUAAAAAAAAUUUAAAAUUUAACUAAUAGAUUGAUCUAAGCAUUACUGUUUGUCUAAUCGAAGAAUGUUAAGUGUUCCUGAUAAUGUUGAGUGCUUUGAUUUUUCAUCGGAAUACUCGAAAACAGGGAAUACUUAGUUAAAUUUAUGGUAGAUUCUUAUGUUCGAAUUUAGUAAACUUAUAUAUCCCAAAGAAUAAUUUAAAAAAAAGCAUCGAUAUGUCAGGGUUAAAAACAUUUUAAUUCGUUACCAAAAAGGAAGAUCAGAAACCUGAUAGACACGUUGUCAUCGACUGGAAAUUCUUAUCAGAUAUGAAGAUUACCGAAAAACGAAAAAAAGGACACGUUUUUAAAAUAGGAAACAAUAGACAUCGAUCCCUUAUCGCUCCAACAUCUGUUUCCCUUGAGGUAUGACAUAAACACCGAGUUUUUUUUUAUAAGGAUUUUGUUUCUCCCCGAAGGAUCGGCAGGCGUGAGAGUUGCAAUCGAUCCGCAUUACAAGCCUGCUGGACUUCUUUUUGACUAUUAUUUACGAAUUUUUGCAUAUUUCGACUAGAAAUGAAAUUCCGUUCAGAGAAUUCUAAUUCGGUUGGCGCUCGUUAAUCAAUGGGCCUCCGGCCCAUUCGGCACUGCGCAAACAUGUCAAGCAGAAGACGAAAGCGAGUGCAUCUGCUACACUCGUCUGCUUGCCAACAUCUAUAAACAGCGGCAUUUCUUGGCAUCGUCCACCGACGGACGCAACCGGAGCGGGACCCCGGUCGGUCCGGGUCCGACAGAUAAUCCUAAUGAGCUUUCAGUCACGUGAUCAGUGAUAGACAAGCUUUUUCUACGUCUGUGGGAGAUGAUGGCAGACGGCCUGGCUCCUCUUCCCAGACACAAUUGGCCUCUGGAUCGUGAUAAAUAACCUUUUUUGUUUCCCGUCUAUAUUUAAUGCGAACUGAAGAGUCGGGGAAGAUAUCGGUUGUUUUACAGCGAAACGAAUUGCGCAUCUGAUGACCAACAAUUCCACCCGGGAAAAUUUAGAACAGAAAGAAUACGCACUGAUUUCUGUAGAACCAAUCGUGUUUGAGAAAUCCGAAAAGAUUCUCGCAACUCCUCCCACUAGUCAUCCAGGGGCGGAGUGCCGAUCGAUGCAUUUGUCAUGGCAGACGCACUUGACGAUUGAGUGUCAGCGUGUCUCAGCCCCUCGUUACACGGGGACAGAUUUGUGCACGUGUUGGCGACACAUGUAAAGACUAUUUAUAGAACGAAAGAACCUCUGCCAACCUCCAAAAGUUUUGCUUGAAUUACAAUCGCUCUUUUCCAUUUCCUCAACGUAUCUGUUGGAAACCAAAUUUGGCUUCCACCACCUGCGACAUCCUGCCCUCCCGCUUUACGAUCGCGACGACAGAUGGAGAGUCCCACUUAUGUCCUAUUGCAAUCGAUUCCGUCCGUCCCUCGACAAUGUUCGAGAGUCUGAUGAAAGAUGACUGACUAGAAGUACCUUUUGGUUUCUGUUUCUCCAAUUUUUCCUUGUACUCAGAUCCCAUGUCUUCUCUACACUCGUUUUAGUGCAUAUACAAAAAGCAGACGUAUUCCCACGUAGCUAUAAAGUUCUCUAACGGAAGCAUUCUAAACAAAUAUUGCCGUGUCUCCAUAUUUAUGUUCUACAAAUUUAUAGUAUAAACAAUGUUAAAGAGGGAAAUCUGGAGAAUGUGCGCUUCCGUUUGAGUUCACUUGAUUUGGAACAUAUGGAAAAUGAGAGAAAACUUUUUUUUAACCCCACUUUUCAAGUUUUCACAGUUAUUGCGACACGAUAAAAUUUUAACUGCAUCUGGGACCACUUUGUAAAGAAGACAUUAUCUUAGUUUCAUGCGAAACUUCCAGAAAAAGAGUCGCAAAUCCAAUGAUUAAUUUUUAUGACAGAGGUCGGUGAAAAUACAUUAUUCACGUUGAGAAUCGUUUAUUUCGCUCGAGUCACGUGGAAACGACAUUUAAUACUGCAUUUGUUUUUUCAGAAGGGAUAUAAAUCCAUUUUACCGAGAAACGAAGCUAUCGGAAGGAUAUUUUAAAACUUCUAGAAUGCGUGACGCUUCUCUUCGAGAGGACUUCAAAACUGCCACUUCUAUCUAUUUAUAAUGUAAAAGCCUCGGGGCGAAUAACUGAUUAAUCCCGACAUAAAUUCCUUCGUAAUCCUCUAAUCCUGCAUCCGUUCCUGCCAUUGCUUUUUUAAAAAUGCCCAUGGCGAUCUUGUGACGUCAGAGAGGCUAUUUACUGACAGCGUUUUCCUUUUCCGCAGCAUGCGAUUGCAAUCUGCACGCCCGAAGGUGUCGCUUCAACAUGGAGUUGUACAAGUUGUC
rnacentral:lncRNA from 1 species